UGAACGCUGGCGGUAUGCUUAACACAUGCAAGUCGAACGGUAACAGCAGAGCUUGCUCUGGCUGACGAGUGGCGGACGGGUGCGUAACGCGUGGGAAUCUACCUUAUAGUGGGGGAUAGCCCGGAGAAAUCCGGAUUAAUACCGCAUAAUCUCUACGGAGGAAAAGGGGCCUCUCCUUGGAAGCUCUUGCUAUUAGAUGAGCCCGCGUUAGAUUAGCUAGUUGGUGAGGUAAUGGCUCACCAAGGCGACGAUCUAUAGCUGGUUUGAGAGGAUGAUCAGCCACACUGGGACUGAGACACGGCCCAGACUCCUACGGGAGGCAGCAGUGGGGAAUAUUGGACAAUGGGCGCAAGCCUGAUCCAGCAAUACCGCGUGUGUGAAGAAGGCCUGAGGGUUGUAAAGCACUUUCAAUAGGGACGAAAAGCCUAAGGUUAAUAACCUUGGGUCUUGACUUAACCUAUAGAAGAAGCACCGGCUAACUCC
rnacentral:rRNA from 1 species